rnacentral:piRNA from 1 species
UCCCUCAUUUCAAAGUACUUUUCCUUGCUUA